CAUAGACCUGUAGGUAGGUGGGUACUGUCCUACCUUAACCCCCACAACAUAGACCUGUAGGUAGGUGGGUACUGUCCUACCUUAACCCCCACAACAUAGACCUGUAGGUAGGUGGGUACUGUCCUACCUUAACCCCCACAACAUAGACCUG